rnacentral:snoRNA from 1 species
CCCCUUUCAGGAUCACACCUGGAGAGUUUCCGAUACUCUACCAGUCUCAUCUACGGGAGGGAGAGUCAAGCAGAGGGCUACCCAUUCCAUUCCUAGUUUGGGCAGCGGCUAGCGAGUGGAAAGCAAUCUGCCAGAAAU